GAGAUUCCCGAGCUUUGCUGGAACGAUCGAUCGGCGAAGGGCUUUCGAUUCCUCUGUUGCUUGGAUCUUUGGGCUGGAAGCUCUUCUUCCACUGUACUCUUCUGGAAUUGACAUAAUCGCGUAGCAGCUCGCUAGGGAGAUUCCGUCGAGAAAAUUCCGUUUAUCGGUUGAUGGCAGGUAAUCCGAGAAGCUUCCGCGAUGAAAUACGAGCGGCCGAUAAGGGCGACGCGACGACGGGAUGUUCAAAGGCGAACGGGACAAAUUGUACGAGUUAUCGUCUGAACGCGAAAGAAGGCGAGAAGACGCGCCGUCGGGCGCGGGGUUAACAUUGAUAACAUUUGCCCUCCAGCCGAUCCCGCGGCGAUUUCGCAAACGCCGAUCGAUCCGCCGCGAUUUAUCCGAAACUGUCCCGUAAUCAGCCGGCUAUCGUCCGCCUGGCAAUCGGGCAAUAAUUCGAACUAAAGUAAAACGUCUCUUCGAAUAGUCGAGCACUUUUGUCGCGAUAAUGGGAACCCCGAUAAGCGACACGUGUUUACUACUUAUGCACGUUUAGAAUCGAUACGCAAGAAAAGUUAACGAGACGAUUAACACCGUUAAACGUCUCUUGUUAAACCGGAACUGGUGGCAAUGACUCCGAUCGUUUCGUAGGGCUUGUUUUCGAUAUCGAGGCGAUCGUUGCCUCGCAUCUGGAACAUUCAAGCCACUGAGCCAAAUCAGCGUGAUCCACCGUCGAGGCGUUAUCGUGGAACGGAGAAAGCGACCGAGGAGUAAACAAACGAAGAAAAGCUGGGCGACGAUAAGAAGGGAACCGAUGAAUAAUUAAAGCUCUACAGGAAACAAGCAUUCGCGAGAUAGUACGAUUCGAAAAGAGCGACGAAGAACUAGAAAGAAGAGACGAGAAGUCUAUACCUUGAACCAGCGUCUUCCAAAGACGGAAGGAUUCGAGAUGGGGAUGAAGAAAACGAAGAGAAGGAGGCUUGAUAAAACGUAUCAAAUUUAUUUCUCUGCUUGCCACCUCUGACACUCGCUCGGGAGGACGCCGACUGCGACUGUGCACGCUGCGAACAAGAGGUCGAUGUAGCUGGAGCGGCGAGCAUGCUCGCAGCACAAACCGGGCCACAAUUAAAAGUUUCCGCGAGCGACACCGCCGCGGGUAAUUUCCGGGACGCGCGCCACUAAUUCCGUUAUUUCGAAUUUCCACACGGAAUGCACCGGCUCCGCUCUGCUCUGCCCUGCACUGCCCUGUUCCGCUCGGCUCCGUUGUCUCCCGGAAAGGACAACCGCCCUAACGAGCGGCGAA